GGGGCUGACUGGCUUUGACAGCGUGCCGAGGUGAUUUGUAAGCAUGUAGUGCAUCGGUAAUUGGCACUUAAAUCUUAGUUAUCGAACUUUUUAGUUGGCGAAAAUAAUUACGCUCUCGCUGCGUAACCGAAGUAUAGUAGGUUAAUCGCUUUAUUGCUGCACAGGUGCGGCAACGAGACAUCAUCCGAGAAGCUCCCGACCCGUAGCGUCUCGACCCGGUGGUGUAACGGAAAUUCGGGUAUCGCUCUGCUCAGCCUUCGGAGCCGGGUUAAAUGAAAGGAGGAUAAGGAUAUGGGAAGGUAGUUUCGGCCCAACCCGAAUCUCGAAAAUCAAAGCGAAAAUAAACAUGUAGAAAGCAGGUUGUUUCCGCGUUUGGACGAGGGUUCAAUUCCCUCCAGCUCCACCG
rfam:Porphyromonas macacae strain COT-192_OH2859 contig_28, whole genome shotgun sequence.